CCUACGGGUGGCAGCAGUGAGGAAUAUUGGUCAAUGGGCGGAAGCCUGAACCAGCCAAGUAGCGUGCAGGAUGAAGGCCCUACGGGUUGUAAACUGCUUUUAUACGGGAAUAACGCGCCUUACGUGUAGGGCUUUGCAUGUAUCGUAUGAAUAAGGACCGGCUAAUUCCGUGCCAGCAGCCGCGGUAAUCCGGAUGGUCCGGGUGUUAUCCGGAUUUAUUGGGUUUAAAGGGUGCGUAGACCGCAUGUCAAGCGUGCUGUGAAAUGUCCGGGCUCAACCCGGGCCUUGCAGCGCGAACUGGCGUGCUGGAGUCCGCGGAAGGCAGGCGGAAUGCGUCGUGUAGCGGUGAAAUGCUUAGAUAUGACGAAGAACCCCGGUGGCGAAGGCGGCUUGCUGCAGCGGAACUGACGCUGAUGCUCGAAAGCGCGGGUAUCGAACAGGAUUAGAUACCCUUGUAGUC
rnacentral:rRNA from 1 species